ACGUGUGUGUUGAUGAAUCUUAUGCUUAUUACAACUGUGUCAUCAUAGCCCCAGAGAACAAAUAUUUCAAUCGACAGUUCAGGCAUCGAAGUGGCACCGAAAUUCACGUUUUGUUUCGGUCCGGUACAUACCGGUUAUAUAGGUACCGGUGCCGUAUUGGCACUGGUUUUCGGUACCCAACCCUGCGGUACUGACGAGGUACUUUAUUGGCUACGGCAGCCCGAGGUAAGAGCGGAUCCAGCGGCUCGGGCUUUAGCCAACUGCCCGGCGACGCGUGACAAGCGAAGGAGGUGCGCGAAAACCUCCGUCGGCUUAGAGAAGUGGCAGCGGAAGCGAUGUUUCGGCAGAUGGAUGUCGACAGCAGGCUACCCUCUGGUCGGCGGUCUGGGCUUCCGAACGGACCCCAGAGCGAGCUGCGAGAAGGAGGGAGAAGCGGAGUCUCCAUAAGCAGGAAGCACCACCGGGGAUCUUUCUAGGGGCUACUCUGAUCUCCGCUGCUUCCCCUGCCAGGUGUCGGGAGAUGCCCCUUUCGAUACUGGACCCAGCAGUGUUCAGCCCUGACGUCGCCACCGCCACUUCACACAAGCGGGUGCCUGACGCCUGCAUCGCUGCCGCUUCCUUCCCCAUGCUGGCAGCUCGCCCCUUUCUAGGGACGCGCCUGGCUCUUAAAGGGGCCAGGUCAGUUGGGGAUGCCACACCGCAGCAACUCUCGAAGGACGGCGCCCGCUGCUGGGGUGCAGUCUCCGUCUUCGCCCCCCGCGGUUACUGUUUUACCUGACCCGUUCUGUGCCAGAUUCUGUUUUGGCUUUUGCCAUUGUGCCUGUUCUGUGUGUCUGUUCUGUUCCCUGUUCCUCAUUGAUGUUCUUCGUCUUGUUUUCCAGGUACCGUUUUCCCGGUCUCGUCCUGUCCGCCGCUCCCCUUGGAGCUUAGUCUUUGAAACAAAAAUUAUACGUUUUCACUUUUCAGCAUCUGGCAUGCCACUCACGAUUUCAGACUCGCGCAGGAAAUCUUACGGCAAAUCUAUAUUAUUCCAUUGUGAACCUAAAAUAAGCUACGUCAAAAGCGUAUUUACACGGUUAAAUACAAAAGCAGACUAUUUACAAGGGAGCUGGUCUCACUUCAGUUGUGCUACAAGCAGCAAGUGAUACUGAAGACGGGUGCACAUUGGGGGGUCCUGUUAGACAUGGGUGACCAGACCUUUGCCCGACACUUCAGGAUGAACAGGACCCAGUUUGAGUAUUUACUCACAAAGCUGCAGGAGAACGGCCUAAGCAGAGAACACAGCCAUGGAAAAACACAAGUGCCUGCCACCAAGAAGCUGUUGCUGUUCCUGUGGUACAUGGCCAAUCAGAACAGCUUUCGAGAGCAAGUCAGGUACUGUGUAUUAACCUGACUGUCCGACAAGUUCAACAUCAGACAGUUCAGGUGCUGACCAUUGUGUCGCAAAUUGGGCCAACCUUCAUCUCGUGGCCUAAUGGAUGUGGAAAAGGAGCAUCUGCCGCUGACUUCCAGCGCACCUGUGGCCUUGAUGGGAUCAUAGGGGCAACUGAUGGUUGCCACAUCCGAAUUCAGAGGCCAACCAUUAGAGGGGGGGACAACAUGAACAGGAAGGGUUUCUACUCUGUCCUCCUUCAGGGGAUUGUCGAUGAAAGGGGACGAUUCACUGACAUCUUCGCUGGACCACCGGGGCGAGUCCAUGAUGCAAGGAUGUUGACAGCCUCCGACUUCUUCCUCGAAUGGCAGGAAAGAUGGGGCAGUACUUUCUGCUGGGGGUCAGCGUCUACAUUGGCCAGGCCUUGCUAUUCAUCUGGGCCCCUAAACGUGAUAAUGGGAGACUCACUGAGGCAGAACAUCAGCAGAAUGCAAGGAUCAGCCGGGGGAGGGUCAUAGCUGAGCAGGCGUUCGGACGCUUGCAGUGCAAGUGGAGGCGUCUACGUGACUUGCAGGACACUGGAAUUGACAUUGUGGUCAUGGUGAUCAUGGCAGCCUGUUUCUUGCACAUGUGCAUCGGCCAUUCGGACAUGUGCCCAGAACACCCACAAUGGUGCCCAAGGGAGGAGGAUGAUAGUGAUCGAUAGUUUAAUUUGAGUGAUUCUUGUUUUGUGAUUUACAUUCUGGUUUAUUUUAACCUAUGAGCCUUUCAGCUUAUUUUAUAAUUAUUUGUUUUCUUAUAUUGUGUGUAUUGUCUACAUAUGUGUGUGAGAGGAUAAGACGGAGUGGUAGAGCAAUGAAUAUUGUUCAUCAAUAAAAAAUGGUGUGCUUCAA